AACCGUUUUUUUGGUGCCGUUGUGGAUCCAGGGAAAACAAAAGUAAUGUCCCAUUUGGCAUUAUCAGGACAUGACAAACAGACUCUGAAGGCCAGUCUUUGCCCUGGUGGAGAAUAUGCUCGACGUCACCAGUUAUCUAACCAGCGGUCUGCCUGUCAGCAUCAUUGAACGCAGCCCUUCAUCAUGGACUCACUCACCUGCACCUGCUACUUCCAGCAGCUCGGGAGAGUAGAAGAUUAGGGCAUGGUUCCUUUGUUGGAAUAUGCCUCGAAGCCAUUUGGUUUGUCAUCACGACUCUCGCUCAAGUAGGAAGUAAGCCAGAACCAACCAACCAAUCAAGAGACAACCUCAAAACGCAUCAGUGAUGAGGAGUUUCCUGCAACUUUACCAAAUGGUACUGGAAGGCCUGUGACUAUGAGAGAGAUUCGCUA